CCCCAGACUGUAAAUUUGGAGAAAACACAUGAAUGUGAGAAUUCACUUGAUGAUCUUGCAAAGUUGGGAAAGAUGGAUCAAAAUAUGCAAUGUCUGUGAUGGCAGCAGAGAAUGAGUGCAGAGGUCAGAGCACCCUGUGGUUUCUCCGCUCUCAUGGGACAGAGUCAACCAGGCCUCAUGCUGAGGCAAGGAACAACCCAUAACACCAUCUUCAGCUUUCUUCCUGCCAGUGAUGCUUUGCCAGGAGAUGCCUGGAAGCAGCCCAGGCACUUCACAGGGUGUGUUUCUGAUGGCAAACCAACAUAAAUUAACAACAACCCUACUGACGCCGCUGUAGUUACACUGGUGAGACGCAGCCAGCUAACAGAGCAGCUCAUUUGUCUUCCCCUAACCCUGGUACUUCGGACUCAGACACCCACUGAGACAGUGUUGCUUCCCGACACAGGGCAACCCAGCACAGCUUGACUUUGUGGUACUUUUGGGAAGAGAAAGUGCUCUUGCACAAAAUACUUUGUCCUAUGGUCCUUAGAGCGUUGCUCGCCUUUGGUACAAGAAAGGAUACCUGAUGUUUCUAAAAUAUUUGUGCUCUCAGCACCCUUGUUGGGUGCUAGAAAAGGUUGCCAGAUGGCAGCCACAGAGGCAGACUGCAUGGCUACCACACGUUGCUGCCCCUCUCGCCCUCUCUUUGCUCAAACAAAAACCUGCAUGACAUACUGGCCAAGUCUCUCCGAGAAUUUAUUUUCACUUGGAUUCUUCUAUAAUAAGUGCGUAUGAUUUAUUGUGUUCCAUGCCUAUGACUAAAGUUACUUGGCAGCUUUUCUCUGCUAGAGUGUUGUUGUGAGGACUGAUUUCUCUGGAUGAGCUAUUUGUUUACGUGCUUUGAAAAAUAUGUCAUUAUUAUUAUUAUUAUUUCUUCCUGCAGUAGCAGAAGGAUUUAUCCCAUUCUGCUAUCAGAGAAAUGGAAACCUUUACCUUCCAGUGCCUUUUUGUAAGCAUAGGAAAUCAGGACAUUUAGAGAUAAACAAAAGGUGUGGUGCAUGCACAUGACUCAUGUUCUGGCAUCCACUUACAAAGUUAAACAUACACUGUGUGCUAAGGAGACGUCUGGGAAUGACUCUGUGCUUCCCUGUGGCUUUUGUCCACACCCCCCAAAUUCCUGCUAAGCUAAGUGGGAGUUCUGCAAUUGAUUUCCGUAGAAAUUUGAUGGGCAUGAGUAAUUACCGUGUCAACAGCAUGUUCGUGCUUGAAGAAUCUACUCCUUAACAGUCAAUUAUUUCAGCCCAGUGUGCACUGCCUUUGCCCUGCAGCUUCUGAAACAAGUUUCUGUGCUGUGCCCGGUCUUCCCCUUUCUGCAUUUUUUAAAAAUGAAAUUAAACACAAGGCCCUAUUCAGCCAAAAACAGGCCCUGCAGCUGUUACCGCCUGAGCUCUGUGAGGCUCCUGUGCUCUGGAGAUACAAAUGCAAUUCUUAAAGGAAAAAUAUCAUCUUUCCAGUGGCUAUGGGAGAAGUUAUUAAACAUUUUCUGACACAGCCUCUUCAAAGAACAUGAUCCUGCCUUCAUCCUGGAGACAACACUCAUUAAGCAUACUAAAAUGGAUACAUGAGAAUGAUGAUCCCAUGCAGCAGAGAUGUAAAGCAGAGAAAGCCAUGGCUGUCCAGAGUCCCUCUUUCCCCUGGACCAAAUAAAGCAACAGAGCAUUUGCUGAAAGUGUUUCCCCUUAGAAAAGCCUGUGUAAGAGAAAUGCUCACAGAUCUACUCCAUGUUGUUUUCUCCCGUUGUAUGGAGAAAAAUGUGGAUGGAAUAAGUGAUUUGUAAGGCUUCAUAGCAGGAAUCUGACAAGAAGACGAGAAUUGGAGUUGUCCUCCUCUUUCCUCUGACUUAGAGAGCAGCUUAAGGGGAGAAAGAAGAGGGAUUUGUAAUUUGCUUCCAACCGAACCAACACAGAUUUUGUGCAUUUGCAAUUUUACCCCUUUUUAAGAGUUGUUUUGCCAAUCUGUGAGACAUAGUUGGAGGCAGGAGUGAAUGGUGGAGUAAAAUCGUAACAUUCACAAAACAGAAUCAGCAAAAGAUGAAGAUGAGUGUCACUCAGAGGGUCCUGAAGUGAAGGGGAUUUGCCUUUGUCUUUCUGUUUGGUAGGCAGCUCAGUCCCAGAGCUCUGAUCCAGGUUGCUGCCCCUCCUGCAAGUGCCUGCAAUAAGUUUCAGAGGGCUCCCACUGGAAGCAGCCUGCACAGGAGCAAGCCUCGACAAAAUGCACGUUGGAUUUUAGAAUAGAUGCCUCUAGCAUCCAAGGCACAGUAGCAAAGGAAGUAACACUGGGUCAGGCUGUUCAGGAAUAAAGAAUGAAACUUUUGUUGAGAUAACAUCAGCUACAAAGGUUAAAGCAUAAUUGUACGUGAACCAUCAGAGUGAAUCUGCGGUUGAAGCAAAUAGAGUAUUUGUUCUAGAUGUCCUUACUCAUUUACAGUGUACAGCAGUUUGGAGCUUUUCAAUUUCUUUGGUAACGUGUAUUUUAAGAUGAGUGGACUUGGAUCAGGUGAGGAUGCAAGUAUUUAGUCAUUGUAGGAAAAUGUUACUGAAUUUUUGUUUUAGUUCUGUUUUUGCUUAUCUGUUGUGCAGGUGUUUUGAAUACUGAUACCAGAACUUCCUAUGGCAAGUGAGCAAGUAAGAACACAUUUAUGUGAUUGCUCUCCCCUUUUCAUCCAGGAUGUUUUUUGCAGUAAGGUUUAAGCAUAACUUCUUAAAACGACAUUGUAUUUUAUAUCAAUUACUACAUUACGUAUUACCAAUUGCAUAAUAGUGUUUAAUCUCAUGUGCAUUUGUUUACCUGCGUUUUUUUUUUUUUUUUUUUUUUUUUUUUUCCCCCUAAUGACCUCCCAGGCAAUUUUUAGCAAUUUUUUUUUUUUUUUUUUUUUUUUUUGCAUAGGAAACAGGGACACACAGGUCAAUGGGAAUUAUGUUUGGCUCUUUUACUUCCUUAAUUGCCGCAAAGCAGGGGCCCAAACAUUCAGCCAAUUAUUCCACAAUUACAGCUCUUUAUUACUCUUCUUUCUUCCCACAGGUUGUUUGUGAGGCUUUAAGUUGCUGAUUUUUGCAACCUUGAUUCUGUGAAAAAAUGUCAGCAUGUGUUCAGCGUGAAGUAUACGGGUAGUCCUGGUGGGAUACACAGUUAUUCUGGGGCAGGAGCGCUCAGCCUACAUGAAAUACGCCUUGCCCUCCAGAGCAGGCAUUAGAUCCUUGUCCUAUGCUCACCAGCAAAAUGCUGAGGGUGUUCAUGAGUGCUCUUAGCAUCCAUUUCUCUCUGUUUCAUUCAAUGUGGUGACUGAUCCAGUUCAAGCAACAGCCCAGUGAAAUUGUGGUUGUAGCUUACCUGUACGGCCCAGUGCAGAGCGGUUUUGAGGUCUUUAUCCACUAGAGUCAGGUCUGCUCCCUUGUGCAGCAGGGUCUGUACAUGCUGGGGCCUGUUGUGGAAAGCAGCCCAGUGGAGUGAAGUCAUUCCCUGAAAGCCACAAACCCAUAGAGCAAAUAAAGGUCAUGCACAGUAAUGCCCUUUGCAUCCUCUAUAGCUGUAGAAAAGCUAGACUGCUCUGAAACCAUUUGGGAUGGACUGACUCUUUCCUCUUUGCCUUGAACUGAAAUAAUUAGUUACAACUUCCUAACUAGUCAUAACGGGGAACUUAGCAGUCAUCUUUUUAGUGUCAUUGCAGACAAUCAAUACAAAUACGAAGGUUUCUUUCAUACCUGACUGUAACUGUCUUAAAAGAUAUGUGGUCAGGACCAUGAUGGCUGGGGAGGUGAUUCCUCGCUGCUAAGCUUGGGUCCUAUGAGAAAGGCCUGUUUCAGGCAUGUGCUUUGUCAUAACACAAUGUGGUGUUUAACUCAGACCUUAUCUUUAAUUCAAAAUAAGUAUUAUAAACUGACUCUAAUCAUCAAGCUAAAGAACUGCCCCAGUGAUGUCAACAAAAGGACUCACAAUAUAAACAUCUUAUAUUUACAGUUUAGUUUCAGAGAAUCACAGAAUCAUUAAGGUUGGAAAGACCUCUAAUAUAACUCCAACUGUCAACCCACCAUCACCAUGCCCACUUAUCAAUGCCUUCAGCGCCAUGUCUGCGUGUUUCUUGAACACCUCUAGAGAUGGUGAUUUGACCUCUUCCCUGGGCAGUUCAUGAUAUAUUAAUUUCACCUUCAACAACAUUGUUGUAUACACCUAUACUUUACUCUAAGUCCAUAAUACUGAAGAUGUUUCUAAUUAAACACAUUUCUUAAAAAAUUCUAGUAUUGUUCAGAUGUGGUAACUUUUUACUUUGAGCAGAUGUGUCUACUAUCUUUUACUACUGAAAAUGUAUCCAAAGGGUCUUGCUUGGGAUCAAAAUGGUAAAAAAAAAAAAAAGCAAAAAUGUAAAGUGGAAAAGAAAUUGAAACUUCAGUGGAACCUUAUAAAUCUAGUUAACAACAAUUUGGAUUAAACACAAGCUAUAAAACACCCAUGCAAACGGUUUAUCAGUGCAUUAAUACUAGAAGCUGUUAGCAGUGACGUUCUAAGUGAAAGCUUGAACCCCCUAACUUUAAUUUCUCUGAACUAUCAGAUAUAUUAUAACUCUUUUCAGGUCCCCAGGUGGUUUAAAUAUGGGUGAUGACAAAAUAAAACAAUUGAACAAGAGCAGUUUUGUUUUUAGUUAGGUUUUGCAAAUCUUAAUCAUGGGGAUUUUCGUUCUGUAAAACCAGGAAUGAGGAUUUAAUCCUGUCUCACUGAAAUUAAUGAGAGUUCUACCAUUGACGUCAGUGGACACGUGUUUUUGCACUGGGGACCUAGUAUCAUUGACAGGCUCCCAAACCCCAUGGUUGCUGUUAAGUGAGAAUUCAGUGAAGUAACCUCCAUCUGGGACGUGGAUCCUUGUACCUAGGUCUGGACAGUCAGAACAGUGACUGAAAGAGGGGAAACUGCAGUGUAUCAGGCCAGAUUUUUGUCAUCUACUCUCAGCAUGUCAAUAUGAGCAAAAGGCAAGAUUCUUGAAAAAGCAGAUUUCUGUUCUUAACAUUGCUAUCAUCUGAGACACAUAUAACAUGAGAGUGUAAGAACUGUGGGUAGAUAUCAAAGUUUUCCCUAGUCCAGGGUCACUAGAAAAUACUUAGAGAGAGACAUUAAGAAAUAGGGCUUAGUGAUACACAGUAAUAUAACAUCUGGUAAUUGCACUACAGACUUCCUAUGCCAUCCAGAUCUCCACAGAAUAAUCAUGCAUUUUGUGAAAAAGUGUCUUCUUUCAUUUCCUGUAAAACUGCUGUCCCCAUCAUUUUAGUUGUAAAAAAACAAACAAACAGUGAAUAAUCAUGCUCUUUGCAUCUUCUCCGUAGCAUUUAAGAUGCUGUGGAUUUGUAUUAUAUUGUCCCUCUGACAUAACUGAAUGUCCUUUCACAAUUUGUUUGUUCUAGUUAUUGACCUGCCCAUGAAAGAAAGCCAUUCUAUAAUAAUCUUUGCAGUCCUUCUCUGUUCCUUUUGUUGUACAUCCUUUUUCAGAUGACAUUUGCAGCGAGCAUUAAAGGUGUGGGCAUACCAAGGAAUGAGACAGA